UACGAAGGGGGCUAGCGUUGUCCGGAAUUAUUGGGCGUAAAGAGCUUGUAGGCGGUCUGUCGCGUCUGCUGUGAAAAUCCGGGGCUCAACCCCGGACUUGCAGUGGGUACGGGCAGACUAGAGUGUGGUAGGGGAGACUGGAAUUCCUGGUGUAGCGGUGAAAUGCGCAGAUAUCAGGAGGAACACCGAUGGCGAAGGCAGGUCUCUGGGCCACUACUGACGCUGAGAAGCGAAAGCAUGGGGAGCGAACAGG
rnacentral:rRNA from 1 species